rnacentral:rRNA from 1 species
CAGCCGCCGCGGGAAUACGUAGGGUGCGAGCGUUAAUCGGAAUUACUGGGCGUAAAGCGUGCGCAGGCGGUUCGUUAAGACAGAUGUGAAAUCCCCGGGCUUAACCUGGGAACUGCAUUUGUGACUGGCGAGCUAGAGUAUGGCAGAGGGGGGUAGAAUUCCACGUGUAGCAGUGAAAUGCGUAGAGAUGUGGAGGAAUACCGAUGGCGAAGGCAGCCCCCUGGCCAAUACUGACGCUCAUGCACGAAAGCGUGGGGAGCAAACAGGAUUAGAUACCCCAGUAGUCCCUGUCUCUUAUACA